rnacentral:rRNA from 1 species
UACCAGCACCCCGAGUGGUCGGGACGUUUAUUGGGCCUAAAGCAUCCGUAGCCGGUUCUACAAGUCUUCCGUUAAAUCCAGCUGCUUAACAGAUGGGCUGCGGAAGAUACUAUGGAGCUAGGAGGCGGGAGAGGCAAGCGGUACUCGAUGGGUAGGGGUAAAAUACCGUUGAUCCAUUGAAGACCACCAGUGGCGAAGGCGGCUUGCCAGAACGCGCUCGACGGUGAGGGAUGAAAGCUGGGGGAGCAAACCGG